CACUGUUUUGGAGGAAUAGAGAAAGUAGUAUUCUAAAAAUAGUAUAAAAGUGUUUGCGUCCUUUAUCUCAUUCUCAUUCGAACAACAACCUCUCCAUUUUAAUUACAGUUCCGUACCAAAGGAUACAUCCCCAACAUUUGCCGCUCUUUUCCUUAUUCCUUCUCAUCCUAUUCGACAAGAAUUAACGUUUCUAUCUUGUAACAAGCGACGAACGAACUACCCGAAUUCGAAGGACAUUUCCUAUAAGAGAAUAAAAAGUCAGAGAAUCGUGGAAAAAAAAAGCGGAAGAACCUCCUGGAAGAAGGACAUUAAUCAACGAACCACUCGAAAACUUUUCCGGCCCACGACCCUCGAGAUUUUUGAGGAGCAAGGACUUUGACAAAAAGGACAGGCGGACAUUAAUCAAAUAGACAUAACCGUAACGGCAAAUCUUCCAAGCAAAAAAGCUAACUUCACUCGUUCAUCAUCCGAACGGAUACGAGAACACUAGGUCGAAAUUUUCUACUACCUGCUUCGUAAUCUUGCCUUCUUUCGAUACUGAUCGAAAUCGAACGAUCUCUUCCGUGUAGAGGAUACGGUUUCAUGAGCGAGAGACAAGGGGUAUCAAGAGACAAAUGUUUCGGACCUGGUUGCCUGCUUCCAAGCAUCGUGAUGUUAAAUAAUCGCGACGCCGGCACGUUUUCGCGUAACGAGGACGUUUAUCAGAAUCCUGCAACCGGGAACUGAUUUACAAAUAGGCCCCGAGAGGCGACUUCUCAUUCCUCCUCCUCUUCCUUCUCCUCCUUCCCUCUCUUGUACUUUCCAUCUCUACGAUCUUCUCAACGUACAUUAGAGACUUCAAAAA
rnacentral:lncRNA from 1 species